UACUGCAGGUCCCUGUUCAGGUGCCAAAUGCUGGGCUAGCUUUGCAAGCGGGAGGGAGACGACCAGGAAC
rnacentral:miRNA from 1 species